AUUGAACGCUGGCGGCAUGCCUUACACAUGCAAGUCGAACGGCAGCACGGGAGCAAUCCUGGUGGCGAGUGGCGAACGGGUGAGUAAAGUAUCGGAACGUGCCCAGUCGUGGGGGAUAACGUAGCGAAAGUUACGCUAAUACCGCAUACGAUCUAUGGAUGAAAGCGGGGGAUCGCAAGACCUCGCGCGAUUGGAGCGGCCGGUAUCAGAUUAGGUAGUUGGUGGGGUAAAGGCUCACCAAGCCGACGAUCUGUAGCUGGUCUGAGAGGACGACCAGCCACACUGGGACUGAGACACGGCCCAGACUCCUACGGGAGGCAGCAGUGGGGAAUUUUGAACAAUGGGCGAAAGCCUGAUCCAGCCAUGCCGCGUGCAGGAUGAAGGCCUUCGGGUUGUAAACUGCUCUUGUACGGAACGAAAAGGUUUGGGCUAAUAAGCUGAGCUCAUGACGGUACCGUAAGAAUAAGCACCGGCUAACUACGUGCCAGCCGCCGCCGUAA
rnacentral:rRNA from 1 species